GGGUCCCACUGUCACCCAAGUUGGAGUGCAGUGUUGUAGUCUCAGCAUUGCAGCCUCAACCUCCUACCUCAGCCUCCUAACUGGGACUACAGGCACCACGCCCAGCUAAUUGUUAUUUUUGUAAAGACAGGGUCUAUGUUGCCCAGGCUGGUCUCAGGUCUUCUUUACAAGUCACGCAGGCCCACGUGAGGGACCUGGAAGAGAACUGGGGUCAUACAAACAGUGGUACUUGAACAGUUUCACAGCUUAUGAAACUCCCUGGCAUUGACUCAUUCACCAUUAUUACCCUCUCUUCAUUUUUUUAGAUGAGAAAACUAAGGCAUAGAAAGAUUAGCAACUUGUCCCAGGACAAGUGUCAAGUCCAGGUCUUGAACCCAGGCAACAUAGUGCUGUGGUUACCAUAUAUGCUUUGGAAUCAGACAGGGCCAAGAUCGAAGUCCUCUUUCACCUGGAUGUCCUUGGGCAUGUCACAGUCUGAGUCUCCGUUUUCUCAUGCAUCACAUGAAGGGGAUACAGUCUAACUCACAGGGUUGUUAAAACUGAAAGAUAAUCUCAGGUAAAGAAUUUAGCGCGCUGUCCACCGCCGCUGCCUGAGCCGACUUCGCACUGACGACCGCCACCGCCGUCCAAUUCUUGGUGCAGAGCCCGGACGUGGUCUACCGCGUCAGCAGCGAGGGCGGCGUCCUCAAGGUGCACCUCAAGUCCACGAGCUUCACCUUCCGGACCGCGUGGCCGGCAGGUGCCCAGGCUAGGGGUCAUGCUUGUCGGCUGAGGUGGGAACAACGGCUCGACGCUCACCGCCGCGGUGCUGGCCAACCUACUGUGUCUGUCCUGGCCCACACGCAGGGAUCGCAAGGAGGCCAACUACUACGGUUCGCUGUCUUAGGCGGGCACCGUGAGCUCGGGCCUGGACGCCAAGGGUCAGGAGGUGUUCGCGCCCUUCCGCCGCUGCUGCCCAUGGUGGCACCCAACGACCUCAUGUUCGAUGGCUGGGACAUCUCGUCGCUGAACCUGGCAGAGGCGAUGCGGCUCGCGAAGGUCCGCAUUGGGGACUGCAGGAGCAACUGCGGCCACACAUGGAGGCCCUGCAGCCCCGGCCUUCGGUAUACAUCCCAGAGUUCAUCGCGGCCAACCGGAGCGCGCGCGCGCGGACGGCCUCAUCCCGGGCACGCGCGCGCAGCGGCUGGGGCAGAUCCGCAGAGACAUUCGAGACUUCCGGUCUAGCUCAGGGCUGGACAAAGUCAUCGCGCUGUGAAACGGCGAACACAGAGUGCUUCUUUCUGUGAGGUGGUCCCAGGUCUCAACGACACGGCCGAGAACCUGCUGCGCACCAUCGAGCUUGGCCUGGAGGUGUCGCCCUCCACGCUCUUUGCCGUGGCCAGCAUCCUGGAGGGCUCUGCCUUCCUCAGUGGGUCCCCACAGAAAACCCUGGUGUCCGGAGCCCUUAAGCUCGCGUGGCAGCGCCGGGCUACGUGGGCGGAGAUGACUUCAAGUCAGGCCAGACAAAAGUCAAGUCCGUGCUCGUGGACUUCCUCAUCGGCUCCGGCCUCAAGACCAAGUCGACUGUGAAUUAUAACCACCUGCGGAAUAAAGACCAGCAGAACCUGUCGGCACCAUCGCGGUUCCCUCUGAGGAGGUGUCCAAGAGCAACGUGGUGGACGACAUGGUGCAAAGACACCCAGUGCUCUACGCGCCCAGCUAGGAGCCUGACCACUGCGUGGUCAUCAAGUACAUGCCGUAUGCGGGCGACCCCAAGCGUGCGCUGGAUGAGUCUACCUUGGAGCUGAUACUGGGCGCAACCAACACGCUGUUGCUGCACGACAUGUGCGAGAACUUGCUGCUGGCCGCCCCUGUCAUGCUGGACCUGGCGCUGCUGACCGAGCCCUGCCACUGCGUGAGCUUCUGCACUGAUGACAACAUCGAGCCACAGACCUUCCACCCCAUGCUGUCCCUGCUUAGCUUCCUCUUCAAGGCGCCGCUGGUGCUGCUGGGCAGCCGGGUGGUCAAUGCACUUUUCCGCCAGUGCAGCUGCAUUGAGAACAUCGUCAGGGCCUGUGUGGGGCUCCCGCCACAGAACCACGUGGUCCAGGAGCACACGAUGGAACUCCCGGUGCCUGGCCUCAAGCGAGUCGGACCCGUGGCUGCCACCUGCCCUGUGUCAAACAAGAAAGGACCGGGACCCGCUGCCACCAAUGGCUGCACCGGUGAUACCAAUGGACACCCAUAAGUGGAGGAACCCCAGAUGCACACCACCUGAGGCCCUGGUCACACAACUUCCCGGCCUUUCCCCGCCUGCACCCCAGGACCCAACCUUUCCAGGCGCCCACAAAAACAAUAAAGCCGGUGCCACUCUCAAAAAAAAAAAAAAAAAAAAAAUUAGCUCUUUGCGGUUGGGUGCGGCGGCUCACGCCUGUAAUCCCAGCACUUUGGGAGGCCAAGGCAGGCAGAUCACUUGAGGUCAGCAGUUCGAGACCAGCCUGGCCAAAAUGAUGAAACCCCGUCUCUACUAAAAAUACAAAAAUUAUCCGGGCAUGGUGGCCCAUGCCUGUAAUCCCAGCUACUUAGGAGGCGGAGGCAGGAGAAUCGCUUGAACCCCGGAGGUGGAGGUUGCAGUGAGCCGAGAUCAUGCCACUGCACUCCAGCCUGGGCAACAGAGCAAGGCUGUCUCAAAAAAAAAAAAAAAAUCUUUGUGCUCAUGUUCAUUAAUUCAUGCAACACAUGUGAAUUUAUCAUCUACCACUAGGUAGGGAGGAUACGAUGGGGAAUAAGCAGACACAGCCCCAUCUCAUGCAGCUAAUAGCCUGUCAUUAGAAUAAAUAAAUUUGAUAAAGAAUGUA